rnacentral:rRNA from 1 species
UACGUAGGGCGCAAGCGUUGUCCGGAAUUAUUGGGCGUAAAGGGCUCGUAGGCGGUUCGUCACGUCGGGAGUGAAAACUCGGAGCUUAACUCCGAGCCUGCUUCCGAUACGGGCAGACUAGAGGUAGGCAGGGGAGAGCGGAACUCCUGGUGUAGCGGUGGAAUGCGCAGAUAUCAGGAAGAACACCGGUGGCGAAGGCGGCUCUCUGGGCCUUACCUGACGCUGAGGAGCGAAAGCGUGGGGAGCGAACAGG